AGAAGGAAGGUAUAUGCAGCACCUAUUUUGUAGAAGCAACAACGUUAUUUCUUUCCAUAGCAGUAGCAACGUUUUCCUUCCAAUUUCAACAAAGAGCAACAAGUGUUCUUCUCUUAUUUCAAAGAUUAAGUAUAGCUAUUUUUCUUCAUCGAUUUCAUGGUUAUGACAUUGGUUUUAUCCGGAUCUUAGCAAGUUGGAAAUAUACCUUGUGGUGAAUUAUCCUAAGAUUGAGGCGAAAAGAGCGACGAGGCAAAAAGGAUUCACGAAUAGUCGCCGACAGGUACAGAUAGUCGGUUUGGUGACCCUUCAGCAUAGGACUUCUACUCAGCUAUCUUGGAGAGCUCCGUUGUUCCGGAGUUUAGACUUUCAGUACAGAUCUUGUGAGAUAUAUGUAUAUGUUAUCCAGGGGUAUGGCGGGGCCCUGUCCCGUCAUAUGUUACUGUUGAUACUCUUAGAGGUCUGUAGACAUAUAUGUGGGUUGUGUACAGGUUUGAUCAGCUGUGUCUUUGUUUAUGGGUUCUGUUCAGCUGUGUCUAUACGAUGUGCUGUGGUAUGAUAUUCGUCUAUAGUGGCAGCCUUGUCGGCUUGCAUGUGAUAUUGAUAUGUG